UACGUAGGUGGCAAGCGUGGGCCGGUAUUAUGGGUCUUAAAGCGCGCGCAGGCGGUCCUUUAAGUCUGAUGUGAAAGCCCACGGCUCAACCGUGGAGGGUCAUUGGAAACUGCGGGACUUGAGUGCAGAAGAGGAAAGUGGAAUUCCACGUGUAGCGGUGAAAUGCGUAGAGAUGUGGAGGAACACCAGUGGCGAAGGCGACUUUCUGGUCUGUAACUGACGCUGAGGCGCGAAAGCGUGGGGAGCAAACAGG
rnacentral:misc_RNA from 1 species